GCAAAUACUGAAAAUGUAUUUGCUCCACUCAUGUCGAAGGUUGGAAGCUGGAACGAGCAUAACAAAGGGUUAUGAGCGUUCACCGAGUGCCUGAGGCUGGGAAUGAUAAUGAAGGGUUAUAUGCCCGGCCUUGAGGCAUUUGAAGGCUUCCUUCUGACCACCUGUUUCUGAGAGCAGGGACUGUUGUUUCAUGAUAAGACUCCCUUUAGAGUUUCGCCAAAGCUAUGUUAUGGCUUGGGUGGUGGGAACUGUAUUUUAUGCUUGAAUGCUUUGAUGUUUUAUCGAGAAAGGCUACGUGCAAGUCUGCUUUAUGCUCUACUCCCUGAGACUAUAUAUCUGUAAAAAGCUGGAUAAUAAAAUUUGUCAGUCCACUAGAGGCUGUCCCUGAGUGUCCUUUUCAGAGUGCGGCCCUUCGAGCCUUACAACUGGUGCCCAACGUGGGGUUCGAAGCAGCAGAUGAAUUUUGAACAAGGACCUUGCAGAAGCGAGAUGAUGGAACUGAGCAGUGGGUCCCACUCAGAAGAGUCAGAAGUCGGACAGACCUUGCUCCACACCCCCCAACCGGUCACAGCACUAAAACGAAAAUUGCAACAGAUGCCUUCUGAGCCUCCUUAUGACAACGUAUCUUGGAAGAAAAAAUUAUCUGUGCCGGGAAUGGACUGGUCCACCUGUAGAGGAAGGUUUAAAAAAGUUUCUGUUCACGCCAACAUGACUUUGUUGAUUGGGGGGCCUCAUGGACUCUUUGUGAAUUGCUCAGAAUCACAAGAAAAUAAUAACACCUGCCAAUGGUAUAAUGUUUCAGCACCACAUUCUAACAGAACACAAACAGGACUCUGGCAUCAACGUGAUGAACUUUUGAACUGGUACAACGGAGGUCUUUCACCUCCCAGACCCCGGAUAAUCAGUCCAGUCCUGGGGCCUGAACACUGGCAUCUUUGGAAAAUUCCUGCUUGCUUGUCCCAGUUUAGCAUCUCGUAUGCUUAUGCACAUGUUUCCAUUCCACAGAAUUAUGUUACUGAGUAUAAUUAUACCAGUUAUGUUCGAGCUUGUGAAAAUGCGCCAUAUCUUUUUGCUAUUGGACAAUUUAGCAGUAAUGGCUCAAUUCUGUCCUGUACUGAGUGUCGUUUGUGUGCUUGUUUAAAUCAUAGUGUGCCAAUUAAUGUUACUAAAGACAGUGUUUUUUUAGUCCGGCAAAGGACUGAUUGUGGGUUCCAGUUAAGAUUUCUGAACCUUGGUUGGAUUCCAUCUUGUUGUCUUUUGUUCUGAGAGAAUCCUUAAAAAGAAGCAAACGUUUUAUUGGCUGGAUUAUAGCUACCAUAGUGGGUAUUAUUUCAGUUGUAACUCUUGGUACACUUUCUGGAAUGGCACUGUAUAAUUCUAUUCAAAAUGAUGAUUUCAUUACUGCUUGGAAAAAGCAUUCUCAUGAUCUCUGGGCCCGGCAAGCUCAGAUAGAUCAACAAAUACAAAUCACGUCUACCUUCAGCAGCAUUCCCCCUGUGUUAUAUAACACUGACUUCUAUAAUACACUAUCUGCUAGUACUUCCUUUCUAAAUCCAAAAAAUUGGGUACCCCAUACGAUGGCUUCUUAUGCGCUGAUCUGUUUAUUGUUUGUUAUUGUUCUGAUAGGAUUCUGAACGUUAUGUGCUCCAGCCACCGCCGCCCAAAAAGCAGGAGUAACCAUGGCUGCAGCAGUCCUUGCUCUUGAGGAAAAAGGAAAUGUGGAGGAGCUGGAAGGCUAUAAGCAAAUACUGAAAAUGUAUUUGCUCCACUCAUGACAAAGGUUGGAAGCUGGAACGAGCAUAACAAAGGGUUAUGAGCGUUCACCAAGUGCCUGAGGCUGGGAACGGAUAAGGAAGGGUUAUACGUCCAGCCUUGAGGCAUUUGAAGGCUUCCUUCUGACCACCUGUUUCUGAGAGCAAGGACUGUUGUUUCAUGAUAAGACUCCCUUUAGAGUUUUGCCAAAGCUAUGUUAUGGCUUGGGUGGUGGGAACUGUAUUUUAUGCUUGAAUGCUUUGAUGUUUUAUCGAGAAAGGCUACGUGCAGGUCUGCUUUAUGCUCUGCUCCCUGAGACCAUAUAUCUGUAAAAAGCUGGAUAAUAAAAUUUGUCAGUCCACUA